GAGUGAACGCUGGCGGCGUGCUUAACACAUGCAAGUCGAACGAUGAAGCUCUAGCUUGCUAGAGUGGAUUAGUGGCGCACGGGUGAGGAAUAUAUAGCUAAUGUGCCCCAUAGAGGGGGAUAACAGUUGGAAACGACUGCUAAUACCCCAUACUCCUUCUUCUCAUAAGGGAAGUCGGGAAAGUUUUUUCGCUAUGGGAUCGGGCUAUACGGUAUCAGCUUGUUGGUGAGGUAACGGCUCACCAAGGCUAUGACGCCUAUCUGGUCUGAGAGGAUGAUCAGACACACUGGAACUGAGACACGGUCCAGACUCCUACGGGAGGCAGCAGUGGGGAAUAUUACACAAUGGAGGCAACUCUGAUGUAGCAACGCCGCGUGGAGGAUGACACAUUUCGGUGCGUAAACUCCUUUUAUAUAGGAAGAUAAUGACGGUACUAUAUGAAUAAGCACCGGCUAACUCCGUGCCAGCAGCCGCGGUAAUACGGAGGGUGCAAGCGUUACUCGGAAUCACUGGGCGUAAAGCGCGCGCAGGCGGCCCCUUAAGUUGGAUGUGAAAUCCUAUGGCUCAACCAUAGAACUGCAUCCAA
rnacentral:rRNA from 1 species